GACGAACGCUGGCGGCGUGCUUAACACAUGCAAGUCGAACGGAAAGGUCCUGCUUGCAGGGUACUCGAGUGGCGAACGGGUGAGUAACACGUGGGUGAUCUGCCCUGCACUUCGGGAUAAGCCUGGGAAACUGGGUCUAAUACCGGAUAGGAGCCAUUUUUAGUGUGAUGGUUGGAAAGUUUUUUCGGUGUAGGAUGAGCUCGCGGCCUAUCAGCUUGUUGGUGGGGUAAUGGCCUACCAAGGCGGCGACGGGUAGCCGGCCUGAGAGGGUGGACGGCCACAUUGGGACUGAGAUACGGCCCAGACUCCUACGGGAGGUAGCAGUGGGGAAUAUUGCACAAUGGGCGCAAGCCUGAUGCAGCGACGCCGCGUGGGGGAUGACGGCCUUCGGGUUGUAAACUCCUUUCGCUAGGGACGAAGCUUUUUGUGACGGUACCUAGAUAAGAAGCACCGGCUAACUACGUG
rnacentral:rRNA from 1 species